rnacentral:rRNA from 1 species
AUGCAUUUUCUUCUUCUUCUUCAAAUUCAGAUUCAGAGGUCGAGGAAGCCGGUCUGGUGGAGCACGGCGUUGCGGACGCAGCAGAGGUCACGGCCCUUGAGCGUCCGCCCGGCGCCCUCCAGCACCGACGACGACCGCGCGUGCCGCCGCGCCACCACCACGUGCGGCGGCACCAUCUCCUCCCCGCGUCGGACUCCUCUGCCUCCCUGGCGCCGCACUUCACGUUCUCACCGGCCGCCUGCCCCGGCCAUACCGGCGUCGACUGCCUCGGUGUCGCGGCACCGUGACCCGGCCUCGGAGGCACGGCCAGGGCUCCAUGUCGUCCCCGCCCUCGACGAGGAGCAACGACAGCCCGAAGCUCUACGGCACGGCGUGCGUCGAGCGACGCCGCGUGCUGGCACUGGCGCUGGCGCGUCGCGGGGUCACCACCGCCUCGGCCACCGGCGCGGCCGUCCACCCGUCCACGUCCCCGCCGCCGCUGCAGGAAGCUGGUGCCGCUGCAAGAAGUUCAAAUGUCAUAGCAGCGGCCGGACGGAUUUGACGCACGGUGCUCCCUCCCACAAAGUGGUUGUUGCUAGACGAGGAAUCAAACUCGCCUCCGCUGCUCCAUUUGGAUGGCAUGCCACACCCUUUUUUUUGGAGACUUCAUUCUAA